rnacentral:rRNA from 1 species
UGAAGCCGCGAAUAGCUCAUUACAACAGCCACCGUUUACUAGAAUAUAGUUAUCCUACUUGGAUAACUGUGGCAAUUCUAGAGCUAAUACAUGCAAAAAAGCUCCGCCCGCAAGGAACGAGCGCAUUUAUUAGAAUAAAAACCAAUCGGGUUUCGGCCCGUAAUUUGGUGAAUCUGAAUAACUUUGCCAAUCGCACAGUCCUAGUACUGGCGAUGUAUCUUUCAAGUGUCUGCCUUAUCAACUUUCGAUGGUAGGUUAUACGCCUACCAUGGUAGUAACGGGUAACGGAGAAUAAGGGUUCGACUCCGGAGAGGGAGCCUGAGAAACGGCUACCACAUCCAAGGAAGGCAGCAGGCGCGCAAAUUACCCACUUCCAGAACGGAGAGGUAGUGACGAAAAAUAACGAGACAGUCCUCUUCGAGGUCUGUCAUCGGAAUGGGUACAAUUUAAAUCCUUUAACGAGGAUCUAUUGGAGGGCAAGUCUGGUGCCAGCAGCCGCGGUAAUUCCAGCUCCAAUAGCG